rnacentral:rRNA from 1 species
AUGUAUCGCAUCUUUCAUAACCCAUUUCCACACAUUGGUGACAAGGACAAGGUGCAUGCCCAUCUUGUGGAUAUGAUGCUCAUUUGUGAGGAGGUCCGCCACUCUCAGUCGCAACCACUUGAUGUCUCAUAUAUCAUAUGGUGCGAGCUUCGGUUUGUGAUGUUCACCCGUAAGAAGCUCUAUCCCGAUGAUGAGUUUCUUGCCUUUACCCGGAUUCGUCAUGAGCCCAUCAAGCUCCGUGUCAAGCCCCAGUGGGCCAACACUACUACCCGUGCCGAGUCAGCGGCUGCUCAGAUGGAUGUGGAUGCAGAUGAGAUUGAGGAGGAGGACGCCGAUGAGGACAGCUCUGCUGGCUACUCGCCUUCAUCUUCUGAGCCCUCUUGGGCUAAGAAGCUGAAGAACAAGAUGAAGGCUCUGUUCUACAUGCAGGCCAAGGAGCAGUACCGGUCUCAUGUUGCUCAGAAGGAGAGUCGACGCCGCGACAAGCAGAUCUUGAGGACGUUUGGUGAGCAGAUAUCCAUCGGGUCUGAGAGGGUCAUCACGUCAGAGGCAGCUUGCGAAGUAGGGCUACCAGUGGAUUGA